GCUGUAUGUAAUAGAUUAUUAGCUAAUGGUUACUUCAGCAAUUUUAUUUCUGGUUGUCCCAGUUCUUAAAGAAAGGACAUUCAGAUGCUUUCUUUGCUGGUGGAACACAUACUUCCUUCACCAAGUGAACCAGGGGAGACUGAGAAAUUCAACAGAAAUUGUGACAUCACGCGGUGAGCUAAAGGUACUCAGCCCCAAACCAAUCAGGAAAUGCUCAGCCUAUUGCAGAAUGAGGCCCCUAAUUGCAAACCAGGUCUUGGUGAAGUAUAUGGAAGCAUAA
rnacentral:lncRNA from 1 species